rfam:Oryza glumipatula chromosome 8, whole genome shotgun sequence.
CGUCAAUGCAAAACGUGGGUUUCUGUGCCAACGUUUGACUGUCCGUCUUAUAUGAAAUUUUUUUAUAAUUAGUAUUUUCAUUGUUGUUAGAUGAUAAAACAUGAUUAAUACUUUAUGUGUGACUUAUCUUUUUAAUUUUUUUAAAUAAGACGGACGGUUAAACGUUGGACACGGAAAUCAGGGUUUGUCUUUUU